CAAAUCCCAUAAACCGUGGCUCAGUUCAGAUCGUAGGCUGCAACUCGCCUACGUGAAGGCGGAAUCGCUAGUAAUCGCAGGUCAGCAUACUGCGGUGAAUACGUUCCCGGGCCUUGUACACACCGCCCGUCACACCAUGGAAGUUGGCCACGCCCGAAGCCGUUACUCCAACCCUUGUGGAGGAGGACGUCGAAGGUGGGGCUGAUGACUGGGGUGAAGUCGUAACAAGGUAUCCGUACCGGAAGGUGCGGAUGGAUCACCUCCUAA
rnacentral:rRNA from 1 species